rnacentral:rRNA from 1 species
CCCCGGUAAACGGCGGCCGUAACUAUAACGGUCCUAAGGUAGCGAAAUUCCUUGUCGGGUAAGUUCCGACCUGCACGAAUGGCGUAAUGAUGGCCAGGCUGUCUCCACCCGAGACUCAGUGAAAUUGAACUCGCUGUGAAGAUGCAGUGUACCCGCGGCAAGACGGAAAGACCCCGUGAACCUUUACUAUAGCUUGACACUGAACAUUGAGCCUUGAUGUGUAGGAUAGGUGGGAGGCUUUGAAGUGUGGACGCCAGUCUGCAUGGAGCCGACCUUGAAAUACCACCCUUUAAUGUUUGAUGUUCUAACGUGGACCCGUAAUCCGGGUUGCGGACAGUGUCUGGUGGGUAGUUUGACUGGGGCGGUCUCCUCCUAAAGAGUAACGGAGGAGCACGAAGGUUGGCUAAUCCUGGUCGGACAUCAGGAGGUUAGUGCAAUGGCAUAAGCCAGCUUGACUGCGAGCGUGACGGCGCGAGCAGGUGCGAAAGCAGGUCAUAGUGAUCCGGUGGUUCUGAAUGGAAGGGCCAUCGCUCAACGGAUAAAAGGUACUCCGGGGAUAACAGGCUGAUACCGCCCAAGAGUUCAUAUCGACGGCGGUGUUUGGCACCUCGAUGUCGGCUCAUCACAUCCUGGGGCUGAAGUAGGUCCCAAGGGUAUGGCUGUUCGCCAUUUAAAGUGGUACGCGAGCUGGGUUUAGAACGUCGUGAGACAGUUCGGUCCCUAUCUGCCGUGGGCGCUGGAGAACUGAGGGGGGCUGCUCCUAGUACGAGAGGACCGGAGUGGACGCAUCACUGGUGUUCGGGUUGUCAUGCCAAUGGCACUGCCCGGUAGCUAAAUGCGGAAGAGAUAAGUGCUGAAAGCAUCUAAGCACGAAACUUGCCCCGAGAUGAGUUCUCCCUGAGACUUAGAGUCUCCUGAAGGAACGUUGAAGACGACGACGUUGAUAGGCCGGGUGUGUAAGCGCAGCGAUGCGUUGAGCUAACCGGUACUAAUGAACCGUGAGGCUUAACCU